GUCGUGGAACCCUAACUGUUUUCUUGAGGCUCCCAAUGGGUAGUGGAUGUCGUGGAACCCUAACUGUUUUCUUCAGGCUGCCAAUGGGUCGUGGAUGUCGUGGAACGUGAUUGAAGUUUUAACAUACGUUUGGAUAUAAUUGUACACCAGAUCAAACAUGAAUCAGAGCUGAUGAUUUUAAAUGUUUGUAAAAUGGCCCGGAUGGAUUUCGGGGAGAUGGGUGUUUUUUGCCCUUGGACGUUGCGAUUAUAUCCCCCUCAUCAGGUUCUAUACUUACUCCAAGCCGUCCAUUGUCAACUAACAACAAGUACCAUCUGUCAACGUCUUUUGGUAUGACGCGGCUGGAGAUGAACCCCGGACCUUUCGCUCUCCGGGCGGCCGCUCUACCACUAGACCACGGACGCGGUUCUAAUAAACGAAAAUGUUGAUGAUUCAAAUGAUAACAUUACUUUACGAAUUAUUAAAAUAUCCUGGGCAACCAUUGGAAAAAUCGUCAAGUAAACGAUCUACUUUCAUCCCCAAAGUUUGGAGGGAUGAUGAAGGCAAAUACAGCAAGGGAACACGUCUGUAAUAGGGUCAAGUCACUCCACUUAGAUCCCCUUGUAUGCAUUUUCCACGAAGGAAAUUUAAAAAUGAAACUAGUCCGAUUUUUAUUCUCAUUGUGGGCCACACAUUUCUCUGAACUCAUAAAUGAAGAUGUUGAUGUUUAAAAUGACAACGUUACUUCCCAAUUGUUGUAAACAUCCCGGGAUACUAUUGGAAAACGUCAGUUAGCAGUCUCCCUUCAUCCCCAACGUGUGCUGGGACGAUGAAUGUGAACAGGCUAACAAAGCAAAGAAACAAGUCUAGAAUUGGGUGUGUCCUACUUCUUCUCCUUGUGACCUGGAAGUGUUCAGGAAGAAACGUGCCGAGUUUCAACGUGUUGUUCGUGUGACUAAACGCUCAAGCUUGGAAAUCUUCUGCGACUAUUCCUAAGCCUGGACACAUGCCAUCAACGUUCCAGUACCAAAACCAUAGAAGGCCACCACUUCGCCUGCUUCAUAUAGACCGGUUUCACUUACUUCCAAUCUAUGUAAAAUUAUGGAAAGAUUUCUCAAAAUUCGAUUGAAUUAUUUUCUUGAGAACAACAGGCUUUUCUCGAGAAUACAGUCAGGCUUUUGAAAGGGACGUUAAUGUUCUUAUCAUCAUAUACGACGCCAGACCGAAGCACAAAAUACUUUAUGCAAUCAAGAGUACAUGUUGUGCGUCGUCCUUGGUAUUAAAAACGCAUAUGGUAUGAUCUGGAGACAAGGCUUCAAUUAACUUACCCCUUGCUUGCCUUGUCUCGACUUCUGAUAGUACGGUAUUACAUGUCUGGUCAAACAGUUCAGGAAUAUGGGGUGAAGAAAAUAUGCAAAUUAUUGAGAGUGUCGCGACAGUCAUACUGCAUCCGAUAUUGGCAUGGCAGUUGCCCGAAUUGAGGUGGGGUAGUGAAAACAAGCUUUAAACAUAAUGGACAAAGGGCACGCACAUCUAAAAUCGCCCAAAUUCAAUGACAUGUCACAUUAAUAACGUGUAUGACCACCCCCUGUGAGAAGACUCUACAAAACUCUCCGGCGCAC